AAGCACUGCCGACUGCCUUUGCUCCAAGGGAAAUUUUUUUUUUUUUUUUUUUUUUGCUCAGUCCUAGUGGUACUGUACUCUCGGACAGGUUAUCCGGUUUCUCCUGCUAGAUUGCAAAAAUCAGGCAUC
rfam:Otolemur garnettii contig165215, whole genome shotgun sequence.